rnacentral:rRNA from 1 species
GUGGUUUAUUCGAUGCAACGCGAAGAACCUUACCUACUCUUGACAUCCAGAGAAUUUGCUAGAGAUAGCUUAGUGCCUUCGGGAACUCUGAGACAGGUGCUGCAUGGCUGUCGUCAGCUCGUGUUGUGAAAUGUUGGGUUAAGUCCCGCAACGAGCGCAACC